AUACGUAGGGGGCGAGCGUUGUCCGGAAUGACUGGGCGUAAAGGGCGUGUAGGCGGCGGUGUAAGUCUGGAGUGAAAGUCCCGCAUUCAAUGUGGGAAUUGCUAUGGAUACUGCAGUGCUAGAGUGCGGAAGAGGUAAGUGGAAUUCCCAGUGUAGCGGUGAAAUGCGUAGAGAUUGGGAGGAACACCAGUGGCGAAGGCGACUUACUGGGCCGUAACUGACGCUGAGGCGCGAAAGCGUGGGGAGCGAACAGGAUUAGAUACCCUGGUAGUCCACGCGGUAAACGAUGAAUGCUAGGUGUUGCGGGUAUCGACCCCUGCAGUGCCGGAGUAAACACAAUAAGCAUUCAGCCUGGGGAGUACGGCCGCAAGGUUGAAACUCAAAUGAAUUGACGGGG
rnacentral:rRNA from 1 species